CUCAGGCUUAUUUUUCAGGUUGAUGUUGAUGACUUCAUGCCUGAAAGACACAUAGAAGACCAGGAAGAGAACGAAACAUUCAAACACCAAAUGUGCAGAGAGGCCCUCCCUGACCACCCAUUCUGAAGCUGCUGAGAGCCUCCAUUACAUGAUCAUCUUGUUUUACUUUCUUUAUUAAACUGAUAUGUAUCUGAAA